GCUUAACACAUGCAAGUCGAGCGGUAACAUGACUAGUAGCAAUACUAGUUGAUGACGAGCGGCGGACGGGUGAGUAACACGUAGGAACUUGCCCAGUAGUGGGGGACAACCAAGGGAAACUUUGGCUAAUACCGCAUAUUCUCGAGAGAGGAAAGCUGCCGCAAGGUGGCGCUAUUGGAGAGGCCUGCGUCCGAUUAGCUAGUUGGUAGGGUAAAAGCCUACCAAGGCGAGGAUCGGUAACUGGUCUGAGAGGACGACCAGUCACACUGGGACUGAGACACGGCCCAGACUCCUACGGGAGGCAGCAGUGGGGAAUCUUGGACAAUGGGGGCAACCCUGAUCCAGCGAUGCCGCGUGAGUGAAGAAGGCCUUCGGGUCGUAAAGCUCUUUAGGCUGGGAAGAAGGUUGGUAGUUUAAGAGAUAAUCAAUUUGACUGUACCAGCAGAAUAAGCACCGGCAAACUCUGUGCCAGCAGCCGCCGUAA
rnacentral:rRNA from 1 species